rnacentral:lncRNA from 1 species
GUUCGCCUCAACAUUCUCGUGCUGACGGGUGAGAUCGACAAUCAUCGACUCUUUAAUGGAAACCCGGGCACGUUGGGCAGCUAGUUCCAUCUCUGCAGCCCCCAACUCUCCGUUAACUUUGGAGAUUUCCUGCUCCUUAUCUCUUAAGAGAUUCCUCUGAGCAGCCCAAUCCUCAGCCAACUUCUUGUUGGUAGCAGAC